rnacentral:siRNA from 1 species
AUCGUGGAAACCUCUUGGUCUAAU